AUCGCUUCUCGGCCUUUUGGCUAAGAUCAAGUCUAGUAUCUGUUCUUAUCAGAUUAAUAUCUGAUACGCCCCCUAUCUGGGGGCCAUAUAUUAAAUGGAUUUUUAGAACAGAGAGAUGGAAGAAGAGCUCGAGGACUGGUGCACUUAAA
rnacentral:snRNA from 1 species